rnacentral:siRNA from 1 species
GGGCCGCACGCGCGCUACACUG